CCUACGGGAGGCUGCAGUGGGGAAUAUUGCGCAAUGGGCGAAAGCCUGACGCAGCGACGCCGCGUGAGGGAUGAAGGUCUUCGGAUCGUAAACCUCUGUCAGCAGGGAAGAAAGGUCACUGUGCUAAUCAGCAGUGAAUUGACGGUACCUGCAAAGGAAGCACCGGCUAACUCCGUGCCAGCAGCCGCGGUAAUACGGAGGGUGCGAGCGUUAAUCGGAAUUACUGGGCGUAAAGCGCUCGUAGGCGGUAUGGCAAGUCAAGGGUGAAAUCCCCGCGCUCAACGUGGGAACUGCCUUUGAAACUGGCAAACUGGAGUGUGGGAGAGGAUAGUGGAAUUCCAGGUGUAGGAGUGAAAGCCGUAGAUAUCGGGAGGAACAUCAGUGGCGAAGGCGACUAUCUGGCACAUAACUGACGCUGAGGAGCGAAAGCGUGGGUAGCAAACAGGAUUAGAUACCCGUGUAGUC
rnacentral:rRNA from 1 species